rnacentral:rRNA from 1 species
CGUAGUUGAUCCGUGGCUCAGGACGAACGCUGGCGGCGUGCCUAACACAUGCAGGUCGAGCGGAGCCAUCCAAACAAUCCCUUCGGGGGUGCGUUUGGUGAAGCUUAGCGGCGGACGGGUGAGUAACGCGUGAGUAACCUGCCCAUAAGAGGGGGGAUAACACAGAGAAAUUUGUGCUAAUACCGCAUAUUGAAUAUUGAAGGCAUCUUCGAUAUUUGAAAGAUUUAUCGCUUAUGGAUGGACUCGCGUCCGAUUAGCUAGUUGGUGAGGUAGAGGCUCACCAAGGCGACGAUCGGUAGCCGAACUGAGAGGUUGAUCGGCCACAUUGGGACUGAGACACGGCCCAGACUCCUACGGGAGGCAGCAGUGGGGGAUAUUGCGCAAUGGGGGAAACCCUGACGCAGCAACGCCGCGUGAAGGAAGAAGGUUUUCGGAUUGUAAACUUCUGUUCUUAGGGAAGAAGACAGUGACGGUACCUAAGGAGCAAGCCACGGCUAACUACGUG